AGAACGACUCUCGGCAACGGAUAUCUCGGCUCUCGCAUCGAUGAAGAACGCAGCAAAAUGCGAUACUUGGUGUGAAUUGCAGAAUCCCGUGAACCAUCGAGUUUUUGAACGCAAGUUGCGCCCGAAGCCUUUUGGUCGAGGGCACGUCUGCCUGGGUGUCACGC
rnacentral:rRNA from 1 species